rnacentral:rRNA from 1 species
AAUGAUGGUGACCCAAACCCUCACCAGAGUAGCAAUUGGAGGGCAAGUCUGGUGCCAGCAGCCGCGGUAAUUCCAGCUCCAAUAGCGUAUAUUAAACUUGUUGCAGUUAAAAAGCUCGUAGUUGAACUUUAGCGUGUUCGAGUUUGCCAUUCGUUUGGCCUUUUCGAGUUCGCUUUUGGGUUUUCCCUUUUUACUUUGAGAAAAUUAGAGUGUUUCAAGCAGACUUUUGUCUUGAAUACUUCAGCAUGGAAUAAUAGAGUAGGACUUUGGUUCUAUUUUGUUGGUUAUUGAACCUUAGUAAUGG